CCUACGGGAGGCAGCAGUAGGGAAUCUUCCACAAUGGGCGAAAGCCUGAUGGAGCAACGCCGCGUGGGUGAAGAAGGUCUUCGGAUCGUAAAACCCUGUUGUUAGAGAAGAAAGUGCGUGAGAGUAACUGUUCACGUUUCGACGGUAUCUAACCAGAAAGCGACGGCUAACUAAGUGCCAGCAGCCGCGGUAAUACGUAGGGGGCAAGCGUUAUCCGGGAUUAUUGGGCGGAAAGGGAACGCAGGCGGUUUUUUAAGUCGUAUGUGAAAGCCCGCGGCUUAACCGGAGUAGUGCAUUGGAAACUGGGAGACUAGAGUGCAGUAGAGGAGAGUGGAACUCCAUGUGUAGCGGUGAAAUGCGUAGAUAUAUGGAAGAACACCAGAGGCGAAAGCGGCUCUCUGGUCGGUAACUGACGCUGAGGUUCGAAAGCGUGGGUAGCAAACAGGAUUAGAUACCCCAGUAGUC
rnacentral:rRNA from 1 species